rnacentral:rRNA from 1 species
UACGUAGGGGGCAAGCGUUGUCCGGAAUCAUUGGGCGUAAAGAGCGCGUAGGCGGCCCUGUAAGUCCGCUGUGAAAGUCAAGGGCUCAACCCUUGGAUGCCGGUGGAUACUGCAGGGCUAGAGUCCGGAAGAGGCGAGUGGAAUUCCUGGUGUAGCGGUGAAAUGCGCAGAUAUCAGGAGGAACACCGGUGGCGAAGGCGGUUCUCUGGGCCUUACCUGACGCUGAGGAGCGAAAGCGUGGGGAGCGAACAGG